GAAACUAACAAGGAUUCCCCUAGUAACGGCGAGUGAAGCGGGAAGAGCUCAAAUUUGAAAUCUGGUGGCCUCAGGUCAUCCGAGUUGUAAUCUAUAGAAGUGUUUUCCGUGCUGGCUCAUGUACAAGUCCCUUGGAACAGGGCGUCAUAGAGGGUGAGAAUCCCGUCCUUGACAUGAACUACCAGUGCUCUGUGAUACAUUUUCAACGAGUCGAGUUGUUUGGGAAUGCAGCUCAAAAUGGGUGGUAAAUUCCAUCUAAAGCUAAAUAUUGGCGAGAGACCGAUAGCGAACAAGUACCGUGAGGGAAAGAUGAAAAGCACUUUGGAAAGAGAGUUAAACAGUAUGUGAAAUUGUUGAAAGGGAAACGAUUGAAGUCAGUCGUGCUCUUUGGAUUCAGCCGGUUCUGCCGGUGUACUUCCUUUGAGUGGGGUCAACAUCAGUUUUGAUCGCUGGAUAAAGGCUGGAGGAACGUAGUACCCUCGGGUAAACUUAUAGCCUCCUGUCACAUACAGUGGUUGGGACUGAGGAACGCAGCACGCCUUUAUGGCCGGGAUUCG
rnacentral:rRNA from 1 species